GAUGAACGCUGGCGGCGUGCCUAAUACAUGCAAGUCGAGCGAAUGGAUUAAGAGCUUGCUCUUAUGAAGUUAGCGGCGGACGGGUGAGUAACACGUGGGUAACCUGCCCAUAAGACUGGGAUAACUCCGGGAAACCGGGGCUAAUACCGGAUAACAUUUUGAACCGCUUGGUUCGAAAUUGAAAGGCGGCUUCGGCUGUCACUUAUGGAUGGACCCGCGUCGCAUUAGCUAGUUGGUGAGGUAACGGCUCACCAAGGCAACGAUGCGUAGCCGACCUGAGAGGGUGAUCGGCCACACUGGGACUGAGACACGGCCCAGACGCCUACGGGAGGCAGCAGUAGGGAAUCUUCCGCAAUGGACGAAAGUCUGACGGAGCAACGCCGCGUGAGUGAUGAAGGCUUUCGGGUCGUAAAACUCUGUUGUUAGGGAAGAACAAGUGCUAGUUGAAUAAGCUGGCACCUUGACGGUACCUGACCAGAAAGCCACGGCUAACUACGUGCCAGCAGCCGCCGUAA
rnacentral:rRNA from 1 species